AGCAGCCGCGGUAAUUCCAGCUCCAAUAGCGUAUAUUAAAGUUGUUGCAGUUAAAAAGCUCGUAGUUGAAUUUCGGGGUUAGUAGGUCGGUCAUGCCUCAGGUAUGCACUGGUCUCACUGAUUCCUCCUUCCUGAUGAGCCGUAAUGCCAUUAAUUUGGUGUUGCAGGGAAUCUGGACUGUUACUUUGAAAAAAUUAGAGUGUUUAAAGCAGGCUAACGCUUGAAUACAUUAGCAUGGAAUAAUGGAAUAGGACGUUCGAUCCUAUUUUGUUGGUUUCUAGGAUUGACGUAAUGAUUAAUAGGGAUAGUUGGGGGCAUUAGUAUUCAAUUGUCAGAGGUGAAAUUCUUGGAUUUAUUGAAGACUAACUACUGCGAAAGCAUUUGCCAAGGAUGUUUUCAUUAAUCAAGAACGAAAGUUAGGGGAUCGAAGACGAUCAGAUACCGUCGUAG
rnacentral:rRNA from 1 species